rnacentral:rRNA from 1 species
UCUUUGUAGUAAUACAAGGCAGACGGCUCAGUAACACGUAGUCAACCUACCCUAUGGACAAGAAUAAUCUCGGGAAACUGAGCAUAAUUCUUGAUAGAUCAUAAUGCCUGGAAUGGUUUAUGAUUAAAAUGAUUCGUCGCCAUAGGAUGGGACUGCGGCCUAUCAGCUUGUUGGUGAGGUAAUGGCCCACCAAGGCGAUUACAGGUACGGGCUCUGAGAGGAGAAGCCCGGAGAUGGGUACUGAGACACGGACCCAGGCCCUAUGGGGCGCAGCAGGCGAGAAAACUUUGCAAUGUGCGAAAGCACGACAAGGUUAAUCCGAGUGAUUUCUGCUAAAGAAACCUUUUGCCAGUCGUAAAACCACUGGUGAAUAAGGGGUGGGCAAGUUCUGGUGUCAGCCGCCGCGGUAAAACCAGCACCUCAAGUGGUCAGGAUGAUUAUUGGGCCUAAAGCAUCCGUAGCCUGCUUUGUAAGUUUUCGGUUAAAUCCAUGUGCUCAACGCAUGGGCUGCCGAAAAUACUGCAUAGCUAGGGAGUGGGAGAGGUAGACGGUACUCAGUAGGUAGGGGUAAAAUCCUUUGAUCUAUUGAUGACCACCUGUGGCGAAGGCGGUCUACCAGAACACGUUCGACGGUGAGGGAUGAAAGCUGGGGGAGCAAACCGGAUUAGAUACCCGGGUAGUCCCAGCUGUAAACGAUGCAGACUCGAUGAUGCAUUGGCAUAAUAGCCAUUGCAGUGUCGCAGGGAAGCCGUUAAGUCUGCCGCCUGGGAAGUACGUGCGCAAGUAUGAAACUUAAAGGAAUUGGCGGGGGAGCACCACAAGGGGUGAAGCCUGCGGU